UGGCUACUAGCUCAACGGCAGAGCAACGCACUGUUAAUGCGUCGGUUCGUGGUUCGAAUCCACGGUAGCCAGC
rnacentral:tRNA from 1 species